rnacentral:rRNA from 1 species
UAUUCGUCAAUGGGGGAAACCCUGAUGCAGCGACGCCGCGUGAGCGAUGAAGUAUUUCGGUAUGUAAAGCUCUAUCAGCAGGGAAGAAAAUGACGGUACCUGACUAGGAAGCCCCGGCUAACGACGUGCCAGCAGCAGCGGUAAUACGUAGGGGGCAAGCGUUAUCCGGAUUUACUGGGUGUAAAGGGAGCGUAGAUGGCGGUGCAAGCCAGAUGUGAAAGCCCGGGGCUCAACCCCGGGACUGCAUUUGGAACUGUGCUGCUAGAGUGUCGGAGAGGCAGGCGGAAUUCCUAGUGUAGCGGUGAAAUGCGUAGAUAUUAGGAGGAACACCAGUGGCGAAGGCGGCCUGCUGGACGAUGACUGACGUUGAGGCUCGAAAGCGUGGGGAGCAAACAGG